AGAUUAGAUACCCUGGUAGUCCACGCCGUAAACGAUGAUAACUAGUUGUUGGGAGGCUUAGACCUCUUUGUGACGAAGCUAACGCGAUAAGUUAUCCGCCUGGGGAGUACGGUCGCAAGACUAAAACUCAAAGGAAUUGACGGGGACCCGCACAAGCGGUGGAGCAUGUUGUUUAAUUCGAAGCAACGCGAAGAACCUUACCCACACUUGACAUCCUUCUUGGGACUUUCAGAGAUGAUUGUCUUCGGUUCGGCCGGGGAAGUGACAGGUGCUGCAUGGCUGUCGUCAGCUCGUGCCG
rnacentral:rRNA from 1 species